rnacentral:rRNA from 1 species
UUUAUGGAGAGUUUGAUCCUGGCUCAGGAUGAACGCUGGCGGCGUGCCUAAUACAUGCAAGUCGAGCGAACGGACGAGAAGCUUGCUUCUCUGAUGUUAGCGGCGGACGGGUGAGUAACACGUGGAUAACCUACCUAUAAGACUGGGAUAACUUCGGGAAACCGGAGCUAAUACCGGAUAAUAUUUUGAACCGCAUGGUUCAAAAGUGAAAGACGGUCUUACUGUCACUUAUAGAUGGAUCCGCGCUGCAUUAGCUAGUUGGUAAGGUAACGGCUUACCAAGGCAACGAUGCAUAGCCGACCUGAGAGGGUGAUCGGCCACACUGGAACUGAGACACGGUCCAGACUCCUACGGGAGGCAGCAGUAGGGA